GGAGACCGGCUUCAGACGGCUGGCUCGCGAACCCGGUCAGGUCCGGAAGGAAGCAGCCGUAGCGAUCUCCAGCCGGGUUGAAUGUCCGGUCUCCCAC
rnacentral:SRP_RNA from 1 species